AAGACUGUAUGUACAGGGAUUGUGUCUAUAGUGUCUUCCUUGAAAAUUGUGCUCCUAAAGUGAUCAGUCUCACUCAACAUGAUAAUGAGUCUUGGUAUUCUCUUCUAAGCAAGAGACAGGUUGAAUCACUGAUUUACAACAAGUGGUUUCAACCGUUGAUGACUGUUCUUUGCUUCUUCUAGUAAUAAUGAAGAAGAGCGUAUGAUCUGAGUAGU
ensembl:snoRNA U3 Small nucleolar RNA U3